GCCUUAUUGCCUCCUAUAGGAGAAUAUAUAUAUGUAUAUAUAUCUCUCUACAUAUUUACAUAUACUCCUAUAAUACUCCUAUAUCAUCAUUACCUCCUAUAGGGUACAUAUCUGUAUACAUAUACUCCUAUAGUCAUCAUUACCUCCUAUAGGGUACAUAUCUGUAUACAUAUACUCCUAUAGUCAUCAUUACCUCCUAUAGGUUAUAUAUCUGUAUACAUAUACUCCUAUAGUCAUCAUUACCUCCUAUAGGGUACAUAUCUGUAUACAUAUACUCCUAUAGUCAUCAUUACCUCCUAUAGGUUAUAUAUCUGUAUACAUAUACUCCUAUAGUCAUCAUUACCUCCUAUAGGUUAUAUAUCUGUAUAUAUAUACUCCUAUAAUACUCCUAUAGUCAUCAUUACCUCCUAUAGGGUAUAUAUCUGUAUACAUAUACUCCUAUAGUCAUCAUUACCUCCUAUAGGUUAUAUAUCUGUAUAUAUAUACUCCUAUAAUACUCCUAUAGUCAUCAUUACCUCCUAUAGGGUUUAUAUCUGUAUAUAUAUACUCCUAUAAUACUCCUAUAUUGAAAUACUAAUAUUCCUAAACUACAUAUAGUAGUAUAGUCUAAUGUAUUCUCUGUAGUAUUAUAGUGUGUAUUUGUAUAUAGAGUAUAUAGCGUGUCUAUCUGGAUGUUAUCAGCCUGUAGUGGUGAUUCUGUGAUAGCGUUUCCAUGGCGACGCUCCUGUGUUUGUGUUCCCGUGUUGACCGAAGUUGUUUUAUAUCUACUGUCCACAGUACUUUAUGAUACCACCAUAGUACUACAGUCUUUCUACGCUCAUCUGUGACUAUUACAGUAUAUAUAUAUAUUUCCUUAAAAGUUUAUAGUGAGCAUCGUUAUAUAAUCCUACUUCUACUAGUUAGUGUCUCCGCUGUGUCACGUUGAGACUUCUAUUCAUAUUCCACUGGACGUACUGCAUUUAUACAUCAACAACUUUAAUGAUAUUAUACAACCUGUUUAUUCUACGUACACGGAGCUGGAUGAUCUCACCUACAGUUUAUUACAGACAUCACAUGUUUCAUUUACAGAGUAUUUCAGUACUGACACACAGUGUAUAAUACAUGUACAGUGUAUUUAUUUAAAACAGAAACAAUGAAUUAACAACAAUAAAACUGCUAAUGACAAUAAUUACAACAAAUUAGU